rnacentral:rRNA from 1 species
UACGUAGGGUGCAAGCAUUAAUCGGAUUUAUUGGGCGUAAAGGGCGCGUAGGCGGGGAUAAAAGUCGUAUGUGAAAUCCCGGAGCUCAACUCCGGAACGGCAUAGGAAACUUUAUCUCUAGAGGGUAGGCGGAGAAAAUGGAAUUCCACAAGUAGCGGUGAAAUGCGUAGAUAUGUGGAAGAACACCGGUGGCGAAGGCGAUUUUCUAGCUUAUACCUGACGCUGAGGCGCGAAAGCAAGGGGAUCAAACAGG